rnacentral:misc_RNA from 1 species
CACAAGUUCUUGAGCAAAGCGUUUCCUAAUGUGCCUAGGAUCCACUGUGCG